CCGCUUGCCGACCUUGAUCAACACAUUGUUGGUGUUCCAAGGUUAAUGAAAUGUUUGAAGACUUACUUGAGGUCUCUGGGGGCGGUAACAAGGGCCACGUAGAACCAUCUCCACUUUCCAGCGGCAAGCCUAGGAAGAAACACACAACGGCACUGAUAGCCACCAAGACUGCAAAUAUCGCUGUCAUGACCAGUAUCCGCCGUAUUAGGACACGAACUGGUCUUGUCUUCAGACUUUUGUGUCGCGUGGCGCUUUCUCUACUUGACUCCUGGCCAACGGCUGCUUUCCCGCUCUCCAAAUCCGCCGCCUGGCGAUUUUCACGAUUCUGCCAUCAACAAAAAGUUUCUUUUACUUUUCGAGGUUAAGUUGUUAUUGACAUUUUGAAAUGUCAAAAGGGGUGCAGAUUCUAUUUUUGUAAAAAUUUGAAAUUUGACGGCAUUGUUCAUUUAAUAAAAACAAAACAGAGGUUAAUACACAUUCAGAAAAUUAAAAUAUUUAUAUAUUUAAUAAGCUAAUUAACAAUAAAAAUAUCUUGCACUGGAUUAAUUUUAAUAUAGGUAACUAACAAUACACCGUAAAUACUAACUCAUAAUUUGGGAACAAAUAAACUUUUAUUUUAAAAUUUAGUUUAAAUAGGUAUAUUUUAAACGAUUUAAUAAUAUUUUAAUAACUUCAAUAGACUACAGUUUCAAAUAAUAUCGCAACAAAUGUUUAUUAUGU